GAAUGAGAGCUUGACUCUUUGAAAAGGAGACAGAUGGUUUGAAUUUACCGGCAUGAAUAUUACAAGCUUCAGGUGUCCCCAGAUGCUGUAAAAAGCAACAUUAGAAAUUGGUCACAAAUAAUAUGUCCAAAGGUAUCCAGGAAAACAACGUCUUUUGCCUCUGCUACAGCAGGUAGUCCUUAAUUACAUUUUACAGACGCAGAAAUUCAGCACAAGCUGGUCAAAACAGCUGUGGGGAAGUUUCUGCUUUGAAGGAAAUAUUACCGGUGCUCAAAGAUGUCAUCAACAGAUAUUAAAGAAGAUACAUCAGAAAAUAGGCCAAGGUGCAGUGCUCUUCAGGGGCUACAAAAGCUUUAGCUCUAUGCCCUGGUGUCAAGAGGAUUAAAUGUGAAUUUCAAAGUAAAGAAUGGAUGGGGAGUCAGUGGCUUUGAGCCAAAAUCCUCCC